rnacentral:misc_RNA from 1 species
AUGCGAAGGCGUUUACUCAAUUCGACGAAAAGCUCAAACAUCUGUCCCAAAUCAGCAGCAUUUCCAUGCGAAUAUAGCAGAGUUGCUGAUGCUCUGGGAUGCUUUAUAUGAACGGCCACGAUUUCGUUUCCCCGUCGAGUCCGGAGUUUCAGAACAUCCACCUCAUCCGUCCUCGGGACCUCUGGAAUUACUAGCCUGCCGGGGGUGGACUCGUCUGC